ACAUGGGUUUCGAUUUAUGGCAGACCUGACACUUUCAGCUUUAGUAUCCCUUGCUAGAACCCUUGCUAGUGUCCCUUGCCUGCCUCUGCCUGUAGGGCACUGGCACUGAGAUGGGUUACAUGGUA
rnacentral:snoRNA from 14 species